rnacentral:rRNA from 1 species
GAUGAACGCUGGCGGCGUGCUUAACACAUGCAAGUCGAGCGAAAACACGAGGAGCUUGCUCCACUGACGUUAGCGGCGGAAGGGUGAGUAACACGCGGACACCCUACCUAUAAAACAGGGAUAAAUUCGUGAAACCGGAGCUAAUACGGGCUAAUAUAUUGAACCGCAUGGCUCAAUAGUGAAUGUCGGCUUUGCUGUUUCUUAUAGAUGGAUCCGCGCCGGAUUGUCUAGUUGGUAAGGGACAGGCCUACCAAGGCGACGUUGCGUAGCCGAGCGGAGAGGGGGGACAGGCCCCAUGGGACUGAGACACGGGCCCAACUCCUAAGGGAGGGAGCAGUGAGGAAUUUUGCAGAAUGGGGGGAAGCCUGAUCGAGCAAAGCCGCGGGCGGGAAGAAGGCCUUCGGGUUGUAAACAGCUUUUUAUAGGGAAGAAACAGUGUUCGCUAAUACCGGGCGCUAAUUACGGGAACUGAAGAAUAAGCACGGGCUAACUACGUG